rnacentral:rRNA from 1 species
GUAGGUGGCAAGCGUUGUCCGGAAUUAUUGGGCGUAAAGCGCGCGCAGGCGGUUCUGUAAGUCUGAUGUGAAAGCCCACGGGCUCAACCGUGGAGGGUCAUUGGAAACUGGAGAACUUGAGUACAGAAGAGGAAAGCGGAAUUCCACGUGUAGCGGUGAAAUGCGUAGAGAUGUGGAGGAACACCAGUGGCGAAGGCGGCUUUCUGGUCUGUAACUGACGCUGAGGCGCGAAAGCGUGGGGAGCAAACAGGAUUAGAUACCCUGGUAGUCACGCCGUAAACGAUGAGUGCUAAGUGUUAGGGGGUUUCCGCCCCUUAGUGCUGCAGCUAACGCAUUAAGCACUCCGCCUGGGGAGUACGACCGCAAGGUUG